rnacentral:rRNA from 1 species
UAGGGAAUCUUCGGCAAUGGACGGAAGUCUGUCCGAGCAACGCCGCGUGAGUGAAGAAGGUUUUCGGAUCGUAAAGCUCUGUUGUAAGAGAAGAACGAGUGUGAGAGUGGAAAGUUCACACUGUGACGGUAUCUUACCAGAAAGGGACGGCUAACUACGUGCCAGCAGCCGCGGUAAUACGUAGGUCCCGAGCGUUGUCCGGAUUUAUUGGGCGUAAAGCGAGCGCAGGCGGUUAGAUAAGUCUGAAGUUAAAGGCUGUGGCUUAACCAUAGUACGCUUUGGAAACUGUUUAACUUGAGUGCAAGAGGGGAGAGUGGAAUUCCAUGUGUAGCGGUGAAAUGCGUAGAUAUAUGGAGGAACACCGGUGGCGAAAGCGGCUCUCUGGCUUGUAACUGACGCUGAGGCUCGAAAGCGUGGGGAGCAAACAGGAUUAGAUACCCUGGUAGUCCACGCCGUAAACGAUGAGUGCUAGGUGUUAGACCCUUUCCGGGGUUUAGUGCCGUAGCUAACGCAUUAAGCACUCCGCCUGGGGGAGUACGACCGCAAGGUUG